UACGAAGGGGGCUAGCGUUGCUCGGAAUCACUGGGCGUAAAGGGUGCGUAGGCGGGUCUUUAAGUCAGGGGUGAAAUCCUGGAGCUCAACUCCAGAACUGCCUUUGAUACUGAAGAUCUUGAGUUCGGGAGAGGUGAGUGGAACUGCGAGUGUAGAGGUGAAAUUCGUAGAUAUUCGCAAGAACACCAGUGUCGAAGGCGGCUCACUGGCCCGAUACUGACGCUGAGGCACGAAAUCGUGGGGAGCAAACAGG
rnacentral:rRNA from 1 species